rnacentral:rRNA from 1 species
UCCUACGGGAGGCAGCAGUGGGGGAUAUUGCACAAUGGGGGAAACCCUGAUGCAGCGACGCCGCGUGAGUGAAGAAGUAUUUCGGUAUGUAAAGCUCUAUCAGCAGGGAAGAAAAUGACGGUACCUGACUAAGAAGCCCCGGCUAACUACGUGCCAGCAGCCGCGGUAAUACGUAGGGGGCAAGCGUUAUCCGGAUUUACUGGGUGUAAAGGGAGCGUAGACGGCGAGUCAAGUCUGAUGUGAAAGGUGAGGGCUCAACCCUUAAACUGCAUUGGAAACUGGUUUGCUAGAGUAUCGGAGAGGUAAGUGGAAUUCCUAGUGUAGCGGUGAAAUGCGUAGAUAUUAGGAGGAACACCAGUGGCGAAGGCGGCUUACUGGACGAUUACUGACGUUGAGGCUCGAAAGCGUGGGGAGCAAACAGGAUUAGAUACCCUGGU